CCUCCUACGGGAGGCAGCAGUAGGGAAUCUUCGGCAAUGGACGAAAGUCUGACCGAGCAACGCCGCGUGAGUGAAGAAGGUUUUCGGAUCGUAAAACUCUGUUGGUAGAGAAGAACGUUGGUGAGAGUGGAAAGCUCAUCAAGUGACGGUAACUACCCAGAAAGGGACGGCUAACUACGUGCCAGCAGCCGCGGUAAUACGUAGGUCCCGAGCGUUGUCCGGAUUUAUUGGGCGUAAAGCGAGCGCAGGUGGUUUAUUAAGUCUGGUGUAAAAGGCAGUGGCUCAACCAUUGUAUGCAUUGGAAACUGGUAGACUUGAGUGCAGGAGAGGAGAGUGGAAUUCCAUGUGUAGCGGUGAAAUGCGUAGAUAUAUGGAGGAACACCGGUGGCGAAAGCGGCUCUCUGGCCUGUAACUGACACUGAGGCUCGAAAGCGUGGGGAGCAAACAGGAUUAGAUACCCUGGUAGUCCACGCCGUAGACGAUGAGUGCUAGAUGUAGGGAGCUAUAAGUUCUCUGUAUCGCAGCUAACGCAAUAAGCACUCCGCCUGGGGAGUACGACCGCAAGGUUGAAACUCAAAGGAAUUGACGGGGGCCCGCACAAG
rnacentral:rRNA from 1 species